rnacentral:rRNA from 1 species
UACGUAGGUGGCAAGCGUUAUCCGGAUUUAUUGGGCGUAAAGGGAACGCAGGCGGUCUUUUAAGUCUGAUGUGAAAGCCUUCGGCUUAACCGGAGUAGUGCAUUGGAAACUGGGAGACUUGAGUGCAGAAGAGGAGAGUGGAACUCCAUGUGUAGCGGUGAAAUGCGUAGAUAUAUGGAGGAACGCCAGUGGCGAAAGCGGCUCUCUGGUCUGUAACCGACGCUGAGGUUCGAAAGCGUGGGUAGCAAACAGG